rnacentral:tRNA from 1 species
GCAGUGGUGGUUCAGUGGUACAAUUGUCGCCUUCCAUGCAGGCGACCCAGGUUCAAUUCCUGGGCAAUGCA